CCUACGGGAGGCAGCAGUGAGGAAUAUUGGUCAAUGGGCGUAAGCCUGAACCAGCCAAGUCGCGUGAGGGAUGAAGGUUCUAUGGAUCGUAAACCUCUUUUAUUAGGGAAUAAAGUGUGGGACGUGUCCUAUGUUUUAUGUAUCUUAUGAAUAAGGAUCGGCUAACUCCGUGCCAGCAGCCGCGGUAAUACGGAGGAUGCGGGCGUUAUCCGCAUUUAUUGGGGUUAAAGGGUGCGUAGGCGGCCUUUUAAGUCAGCGGUGAAAGUCUGCGGGUCAACCAUAGAAUUGCCGUUGAAACUGGGGGCCUUGAGUAUGUAUGAGGAAGGCGGAAUGCGUGGUGUAGCGGUGAAAUGCUUAGAUAUCACGAAGAACCCCGAUUGCGAAGGCAGGUGGCCAGG
rnacentral:rRNA from 1 species